rnacentral:rRNA from 1 species
UACGGAGGGGGCUAGCGUUGUUCGGAAAUACUGGGCGUAAAGCGUACGUAGGCGGCUUGGCAAGUCAGGGGUGAAAUCCCGGAGCUCAACUCCGGAACUGCCCUUGAAACUGCCUGGCUAGAAUCUUGGAGAGGUCAGUGGAAUUCCGAGUGUAGAGGUGAAAUUCGUAGAUAUUCGGAAGAACACCAGUGGCGAAGGCGACUGACUGGACAAGUAUUGACGCUGAGGUACGGAAAGCGUGGGGAGCAAACAGG